rnacentral:rRNA from 1 species
UACGUAGGGUGCGAGCGUUGUCCGGAAUUAUUGGGCGUAAAGAGCUCGUAGGCGGCCUGUUGCGUCGGUUGUGAAAGCCCGGGGCUUAACCCCGGGUCUGCAGUCGAUACGGGCAGGCUAGAGUUCGGUAGGGGAGACUGGAAUUCCUGGUGUAGCGGUGAAAUGCGCAGAUAUCAGGAGGAACACCGGUGGCGAAGGCGGGUCUCUGGGCCGAUACUGACGCUGAGGAGCGAAAGCCAGGGGAGCAAACGGG